rnacentral:tRNA from 2 species
UCGGGAGUGGUGUAAUCGGCAGCACGACAGGUUCUGGCCCUGUUAGUAGGGGUUCGAGUCCUCUCUCCCGAG